AGGAGGAGGAGGAGGAGGAGGAGUACUUGGCAUUAGUGGGUUGGUGUGGCAGCGACUGGAGCAAUGGAGCUGACUAGUGUUUUGGAGGCAACUCAAGGCAACGACUCAAGGAUGACUGGUGAGGCGUCGACGAUGCAAGCUCAGAUCAGGUAUGCCAUGCUCUACCUCCCUUCUCAUUCUUGAUGGGUCGAUGCUCCUCCCUUCACGCUCUGCUUACGUUAUUGACUUUGAGAUACUCUAUAGAUCUUUUCAUCAACCAGUUUUCCCUUUUCAUCCUUGUCAAGCUUGAUGUUUGUGCGCAUUGAAGUUUUACUUGGCUUGCUACUCUCCAUCCUAAAGCUCUUGAUUAAUUCUUUGGUGUACUUGACUUGGUUGAUGAAGAUGGGCUUGGUUGAUGAAGAUGCCAUCCUUAGCUUGUUUGAUUUAAAGCCUAAGGAAGAACUUGAGUUCUCCCAUCAUGCUCAUCACAAACUCACUCUUCAUGGUAUUAGCAAACUCUUCAUGGUAUUAGCAAACUCUUCACACAAGCACUCAUUAGUAGCACCAAAUAUAAUAUCAUCAAUAUAUAUUUGUACUACAAAAAUGUCAUUUACAUAAUUUUUAACAAAAAGAGUUGUAUCAACUUUUCCUUUUGA
rnacentral:misc_RNA from 1 species